rnacentral:rRNA from 1 species
CAAAUCGGACUAGGAUAUAGCUGGUUUUCUGCGAAAUCUAUUUUGGUAGAUGACUUGUUAUUAUUUGUAGUGGGUAUAGCACUGAAUGUCUAACUUAUGUUAGAAGGGAGUAUGAAGGUACUUACUUUGGAUAUUUAAUCUCAGAAUAGCUAUUAAUAUAUGAUGAGUUAUCAGACUUCUUGCGAUAAGGUGAGGAGUCGAGAGGA